UACGGAGGGUGCAAGCGUUGUUCGGAAUCACUGGGCGUAAAGGGCGUGUAGGCGGCUGGAUAAGUGGGAUGUUAAAUCCCCCGGCUCAACCGGGGACCUGCAUCUCAUACUGUUCAGCUCGAGCACAUCAGAGGAGACUGGAAUUCCCGGUGUAGCGGUGAAAUGCGUAGAUAUCGGGAGGAACGCCGGUGGCGAAAGCGAUUCUCUGGUCCUUUCCUGACACUGAGGCGCGAAAGCUAGGGGAGCAAACAGG
rnacentral:rRNA from 1 species